GUUUUUGCAUGAAAAAUCUUUUGAGGAAAACCCAGGUUCGGCCGCCGAAACUCACUUUCGGCCGCCGAACAUGCAUGGACUUUGGGAGGCACGUUAGGCCCCCGAAAGUCUAAGUGAGGGAAGUGCAGGUUCGGCCGCCGAACCUUAUGUUCGGCCGCCGAACAUUGCAUGGAUGCGGAGGCACAUUCGGCCCCCGAACGUGGCCUGGCCAGCCACUAUAAAAGGGUCCCCUUGGUCCGCACGAGCGAGCUUUUUCUCUCCCAUUGUCGGCCAAGGUGAGUCUCCACCGCUCCUCCCUCGAUCUUGAGUGUUUCCUCUAGAUCUUUCAUGGUUUUAACGAGUUUUCAUCUUGCUUUGAAGUUUUUAAGCUUUUGAAUCGAGUUUUAAGCAAGUUUUGAGCUUGGAGGCCCAAGGAGCUAGAUUUCUCCCAACUCCAAGUUAGAUCGCCUCUACUCUCGAUCUUCA
rnacentral:lncRNA from 1 species